rnacentral:rRNA from 1 species
AUACGGAGGAUCCGAGCGUUAUCCGGAUUUAUUGGGCGUAAAGCGAGCGCAGGCGGUUUCUUAAGUCUGAUGUGAAAGCCCCCGGCUCAACCGGGGAGGGUCAUUUGAAACUGGGAGACUUGAGUGCAGAAGAGGAGAGUGGAAUUCCAUGUGUAUCGGUGAAAUGCGUAGAUAUAUGGAGGAACACCAGUGGCGAAGGCGGCUCUCUGGUCUGUAACUGACGCUGAGGCUCGAAAGCGUGGGGAGCGAACAGGAUUAGAUACCCUGGUAGUCCACGCCGUAAACGAUGAGUGCUAAGUGUUGGAGGGUUUCCGCCCUUCAGUGCUGCAGCAAACGCAUUAAGCACUCCGCCUGGGGAGUACGACCGCAAGGUUGAAACUCAAAGGAAUUGACGGGG